rnacentral:siRNA from 1 species
CGAACUUUGUGGGUGUUUAUGUAA